UAAAGGUAAUAUUAAGAGAGAUAAACGAACGUUACGAACACCCAUUUUGUCACGACCCGCGACUACCCGCCUAUUUGGCCGAGGUCGCGGCCCCGCCGACAGACCGCCGAACGGACAGAGUCUCCCCUGUACGUCCUAGGCGUCGCAAUCAAUACAAGUACAAGAAGUUCCAACCAGGAACAGUAUUCAAGCAAUAUUGCAUAAGGAAGGUAUCAAACAACAUAACACAUCCUAUGUUAUUACAAGCAUUCCCAUUAGAUUCAUUUUUACAUCACAUUAGCAUUAUUACAUUACAUUUUCUUCCAAAUACAAUUAAUGAUCGCAAUAUUAUUACAAGUUUGCUCUUUUUCUUUUCCCUCUACCCCUAGGCUAUGCCGACUCGGGGUACCUC
rnacentral:lncRNA from 1 species